ACCAUUCAUGUUUCUUAUGAGUUUUUUGACACUUGGAGUUUGGAAACAAAACGUUCGUUGGCGUUUUCAAACGCCGCAUCUUCGAAUUUCCUAGCUCUACAAUCUUAUAUCUAUCUAUCUAUUAUAAAAGACUGUUCUCGCACUCGUCAGCCCUCCACGUCGGAUUCCAGGUCACAAAGACAUUGAUUUUGGUGUCGACACGUGUCCUGAAAUACAAAACGCAACACUUCGUCGAGGCUUCCUUCCCUGCACACCGUUUCAUUUAAUCUCUCUUUAUGUUUGUUGGGCUUAUUUGCCCGUGUAUCUUUUAAUUUUUAGAGAAAAUUACUAAAAUGUUAUUGAAAAAUUGGUUUAUUACUAGAGUGUUAUACAUCUUUUUAAAAUUACUAAAAUGUUUGGAUACCCCUAGUAAAUGACAAUAAAGAUCUUUGGUUAGUUUUUUUAAUUGAAAUUAUUUUUAAAGAGUAAAUCCACAUCAGUAAUAACAAUCCACAUCAACAAAUCCAUCGUUUGGUUAUCCUCUACCUUCUUUCUUAUUGGUCAGUUUCUAUACUGCAUGGAUAAAAAUUCUUAACCUAACACACAAAUCUCUCUCUCUCUGACGCCUCAUUCUCCUCCAAUCCAUCACGUUUGACCUCCUCACCACCACCACCAUCGCCAUCUCUCCUUCCGCUCGUCACCACCAGCACCGCUCAUUCACUCAUCACCACCACCAUCGCAAUCUUUCCCAUCCGCCAUCGUUCGUCACCACCACCAUCCGCCAUCUCUCUCUCUCUCUCUCUCUCUCUCUCUCUCUCUCUCUCUCUCUCUCUCCACGAUCUGAUUCUCUUCUUCUUUUCCACUCUUGUAGUACUCUCUCCCUCUCUCUUUCUCUUCUUUGAAUCUGAUUUUGAUUUGUUUUUUUGGUAAAGGAAGUUGGAGGAAGCACAAGAGGCCUGACGAGACGAGGUGACUGGAGGUCUCUCUUUUGUUCCAUCACCGAACUGCCGCAGACCAAGUGGGAUUUGUAGUUGUUAAAGUCCGCUACUUUGGAUUGUUCUUUGCUCAAGGUUGAGGCAGAGAGAACAGAUCCGGAGGCAGGAGGCGAAGAGGAGGUCCGAGAGAAGACAGAGCCAGAGGCUGGAGAAGACAGAAAAUCGAGGCGGCUGGAGUUUUUUUUUUUUUAGGUGUAGGUUUUUUUUUUAAUUUGGUUUAGUGUAAACCGAGAUAGGGAAAUGUAGUGGUUUGAUUUUAUUUUUAAUUUCUGGUUUAGUUUUGUAAGCCGGAAUGGAUUCAACAGAGACGACACGGAGGAGUUCAUUGAAACUUGGAUACAUGGACGAGUUAUCACCGAAAUGGUACAGAAAACCUGUAUUUUUGGUUUUCUAUGUAAAAACAUAACUCACCUAUGUAUUUUUUGUUUGAUUUAUGCUAUGUUGACACUACUCAGUCGUGUCGUUUAUAUA